AUCAGCAUGACCGAUAGCUUAAAA
rnacentral:siRNA from 1 species